UACGGAGGGCGCGAGCGUUGUCCGGAAUCACUGGGCGUAAAGGGCGCGUAGGUGGCCUGCUAAGCGUGUGGUGAAAGCUCGGGGCUCAACCCCGAGUCGGCCGUGCGAACUGGUGGACUGGAGCACUGUAGAGGCAGGUGGAAUUCCGGGUGUAGCGGUGGAAUGCGUAGAGAUCCGGAAGAACACCGGUGGCGAAGGCGGCCUGCUGGGCAGUUGCUGACACUGAGGAGCGACAGCGUGGGGAGCAAACAGG
rnacentral:rRNA from 1 species